GGCGGAAGAUGUCUCUUAUUAUUUUCAGGAACAUGUUUUGUCUGGUGCCGAUCUUCUUGUAUUCAUUGUUCACUGGCGUGAAUGCUAAACCGUAAAUAAAUCACGGAUUCAAACACGUCAUCAGCGGAGUCUUGUGAUUGGUUCGCUCAGUUUCCCGUCAGAUGUACGUAACCUUUUACAUGCUCGUCCCUGCAGUGUUACUGCUUUCAUUCCAUCCCGUUUGCACGCAAAGGCGUAUAAAUGCCACGAUAAUGUGCAAGGCGUUUAGCGUGCAAUAAGUACGCCUUUCUUGGUUUCCGCGUGUCUUUUGUACGCCGUGUAUCCUGCACUGACUGCAGUGUAAACACAUCCACUAAGAGUUAGUAACGU